ensembl:lncRNA
GCAAAUCACAUUCAGAAAUGCUCUCUUUUCAGACCUAUCUGCGGCUUUAUUUCAGACCUUCCUAAAUGACUCUUUCUUCUGAUUACAGAAGUGAUGACAGCAGUUCACCAUAGGCUUCUGUCUCAUGGGUGAGAGACCGUGGACCUCCAGCAUCCAUACGACUGCCUGACUUCCACACGAAAGAACAUAAUCAAUGUCUAGGAUAAAAGCAGCCACCCCAAAGCCAGGAGGAUUUAAAGACACAGGACCCAGGGAUAAACACAUGUCUGAUGCCUGGUGCAAUCUCUGAAAUGUGAACCACAGAGAGGACUGGUGGCCACGGGACACAGACGCACUGCCUAAGGCAUUUCUACUCUUAUGGGCUCUUCUCUCCACAAAGAUGGCAUUUGUCUGAGCACUUACAAAGAUUACUCACCAAGAAAGAGAUGCUGGGCAAAUCUCCCACCUUAGAAACCCCUGUCGCCUGCCUGGCUGAGCCCCUGCGUUGACACUUGUAUGGCUAUGACUCAGCCUUGGAACAAGGCUCAUUCCGCUGGAAAUCGCAGGAUCUUGCUUGAAAAGGUCGAGGCACUAAACUCAGGAGCUGUAAGCCCAGAUCCCUUCAGAGUCCAGAUAAGAAGAGGAAAGUUGGAGGGAGGUUUUCUUCCUCAGAAUCUUGCUCUUGGCUUUUAAGCGAAGACAUGGAGCGGUCUUCCUGUGCUACUUGUCCCCUGCACGACACGGGCUUUGAAACUCACGCGGUGACUGCCUCUCCCGCCGGGUCCCUCGGCCAGUGUGACAUCACAGGACACAAGAUACAGCUUCAGCCCUGGGCCACCACUACCCUUCAUAAACUCUGGAUUUUUAAUUGCACCAACUGUAUACUCAACCAAUCCCAUGAUGGCCGUCCCUCAAACCCCUCAGCGUCAACCAGAAGAGAUGAACCUGCACAAGGACCCCUCAGCAAAGCGGUCUCCCAGCCACACAGCACAGAGCUGGGACUGGAGCCAGAUGGGCCACCCAAACAGGAGAGGAGACCAAACAGCCACACCCUCCAGGAGGGGGCCCGCCAGCCCCCAGGCUGUGUUGGGGGCAAACAGAAUAUUCUCUCAGCCACUCCAAUUUGAGAAAUCGGGUGCUGACUCAUUAUUAACCCAGGAAGCCCACGCACUCAAAUGACUGUACUGAAAAAGCUCUG